CAGGGGCAGGGGAGUAGGCUAGGGGCAAGGAGAUUCCCAGUCGUGUAGGAAGGGUCCUGGAGGGAGGAUGAUGUCUGGUCUGGUUGUCUCCUGCAGCGCCUUCUUCGUCUCCUGCUGCUGCCGGUGGUCCUGGCAAGCAGAUGAGAGGUCGAGGCAUCCAUCAGAACAAGAUCUUCCACCGUCUACUAAGCACUGUGCAAAGCAUGUCAAGUCGCCCCAGUUGAACACCCACGCAGGCUUUUGUGAAUGCUAUAUAUUCCUGAGCCUUCUAUGAAAAGUUGGAAUGUGUUUCUAAGCUGAAAGGAAGACUGGAAGACAGACAAACCAGUUAUCUUCCUCUGCAUCGUAGCUGGACGGAAGGCAAGGAGGGAGCAGGGGUUUUACAUGCUGGCAAGUGUUGCGAGCCCCUUUAACUAGCCUGGAUGGAGAGAUGGAUGGAGAAGCCUGUUUGGGAGAAUGGGAGAUAUUCAUCAGCUGCUUCCCAAAAACUUUAAAUGCAACACUACAGUGCUCGAGAUUGAACGCAAGCCUUCUGAGCAGAUGUCAAGGCAGCAGUGUACCAACUGAACCACUGAUGAGUUAAAAUGUCAUGGAGCCAGGGGCCGCAUCUGCCAGACUUUACCUGACUGUCACCCCAGUGGUCACUGUUGACUUAAACAAAAUGUGACCUCACCCAUGGUAGCUGGAAACUUGACCUCCAAUGGCAGAUACAGUGUUUAUAUACAUUAGAGAAACUUCAAUAAUGCAGUUAAAAAUCUCCGGUUUUAAACAUCACAGAGUGCCAGGGAUUGAACCCAGGCCUUCGGAGUAGAAGUCAAGGCAGCAUACCAACAGAGUCACUGAUGAGCUGGAAGGGCACCGUGUCCAGAGUUAGGGACUGAGAUAUCUACCUGGUAAAGUGCCACAAAAGUGGUCCCUGGCACGGUGACCUUCUAGCUCAGUUGGUAAGCUGCACCGGUUUCUACCCUGACGGCCUGGGUUAGAGAUUCCACGCACUCAGCGGUGUUGCAUUUAAAGAUUUUUCCCUGCAUUACUGGAAUUUCUCUAAUGCUUAUAAACACUAUGUGCCAUUGUGGGGGUCAUCUUUCCUUCAUGGCCACAGUGUGGGACUGGGGAGACGGGUAAAGUCCCACAGAAGUGGCCCCUGACAUAGUGACCUUUAAGCCCCUCAAUGGCUCAGUUGGUAUGCUGCCCCAACUCAUGCUCAGAAGGCCUGGAUUUGACUGCUGGUACCUAUUGGUGUUGUUACUUAGAGAUCUUUCACUGUUGCAAUUCCUCUACCUUCUCAUAUGUCCGAAAGACAAUAAAUAAUGGGAUUAUUAAA